GAUGAACGCUGGCGGCGUGCCUAAUACAUGCAAGUCGAGCGAACAGACGAGGAGCUUGCUCCUCUGACGUUAGCGGCGGACGGGUGAGUAACACGUGGAUAACCUACCUAUAAGACUGGGAUAACUUCGGGAAACCGGAGCUAAUACCGGAUAACAUGUUGAACCGCAUGGUUCAACAGUGAAAGACGGUCUUGCUGUCACUUAUAGAUGGAUCCGCGCCGCAUUAGCUAGUUGGUAAGGUAACGGCUUACCAAGGCAACGAUGCGUAGCCGACCUGAGAGGGUGAUCGGCCACACUGGAACUGAGACACGGUCCAGACACCUACGGGAGGCAGCAGUAGGGAAUCUUCCGCAAUGGGCGAAAGCCUGACGGAGCAACGCCGCGUGAGUGAAGAAGGUCUUCGGAUCGUAAAACUCUGUUAUUAGGGAAGAACAAAUGUGUAAGUAACUAUGCACGUCUUGACGGUACCUAAUCAGAAAGCCACGGCUAACUACGUG
rnacentral:rRNA from 1 species